rnacentral:rRNA from 1 species
GCCCAGUCGUGGGGGAUAACGUAGGGAAACUUACGCUAAUACCGCAUACGACACCGCGUUGAAGAUGCGGGGUGAAAGCGGGGGAUCUGUAAGGACCUCGCGCGAGUGGAUGAGCCGAUGUCGGAUUAGCUAGUUGGCGGGGUAAAGGCCCACCAAGGCGACGAUCCGUAGCUGGUCUGAGAGGAUGAUCAGCCACACUGGGACUGAGACACGGCCCAG